rnacentral:tRNA from 1 species
GUCUUCGUGGUGUAAUAGUUAGCAUACUCGGCGCGUAUUCGAGAGAUCCAGGUUCGAGUCCCGGCGAGGACA